GAAAUGCGAUAAGUAAUGUGAAUUGCAGAAUUCAGUGAAUCAUCGAAUCUUUGAACGCACAUUGCGCCCCUUGGUAUUCCGGGGGACAUGCCUGUUCGAGCGUCAUUACAACCCUCAAGCUCUGCUUGGAAUUGGGCACCGUCCUCACUGCGGACGCGCCUCAAAGACCUCGGCGGUGGCUGUUCAGCCCUCAAGCGUAGUAGAAUACACCUCGCUUUGGAGCGGUUGGCGUCGCCCGCCGGACGAACCUUCUGAACUUUUCUCAAGGUUGACCUCGGAUCAGGUAGGGAUACCCGCUGAACUUAAGC
rnacentral:misc_RNA from 1 species